GAAGGUCACGCAAGUCAGCAUACGUCAAACACUCAGAACGGCAGCGGUCAAGUACAUGGCAGGUGUUGCUGUUGUUAAAUUCAUUCCCAGGCAGCAAGUGGCUGAGCCAAGCUGCUUCUAAUCUCCCUGGCACCUCACUGCCCCAAGCCGGUUUCUGGGAGCGGGGGAACAAGGUUCUGAGGGCUCGUGGAGGGGUCCCCGCCCUGGGGCCUGCACCCCGUACUCCAGACUCACCCUGCUAAGGGUUUGCGUGAUCUUGGUCAGUCUCCUGACUCUCUGAGCCAUCAUUUCUGCCUCUUUAGACUGUCAGGUCAUAAAGUGGUUCGAGGAGUGAACAAAACAAUGGCAGCUAAAUGUAACAGUGUCAGGGUGAAGAGCGGGGCUCUGGAACCUUGCUGCUGGCCGUUCGUUCUCGGCUCUACCACGUUCCAGCUGCGUGACUUUAGGCUUGACUCUGCGUGACCUGUCACUUCACAGUUUGGAGCCUUAUUUUUUGGCCACAGAGGGGCAUCGGCGCCAACUGAUUGGCUCCUAACCUGGUCACUCUCUGAGUCCUGUCUCCACUGACGUCCGUGAACUUGUGCCUUCUGUGUCCAACAGUCCACAGAUGAGUGCCAUCUGGAGGAGGAGAUUUCUCUCGAUAGCCCUGCCAGCACUUCCUGUAGAGCAAAUUCCAAAGAAGAGGUGUUUCAGCUUUUUUUUGCUAGUAUGCGUGAGAUCCUUCUUCGAACAACACUUUGAAACGAAGCCUCCUGACCGGAUGUGCAAGAGAUUCACUUUUGCCCAAUUCCUGCAUCGGGCUCUUGUUACCAAACCUUGCCAGUGCUGCUCGGUCCCACCCCAGCAGAGUUGUUUGGAUUUUUCGAAGUAGAAAAUCACAUCCUCAGCCCAUUGCUAAUCAUGUUUGCCUUCCUUCCCAAUGUUUAUCAUUCCAAUCUGUGUUUUCUUGUCCUUGGGACCACCUGGAACAUUCUCUCCUGUGCUGAGACGAGGGCCGGGCCGCGGCGAGGGAAGAGCCAAAAUUGUCGUGCGUAUUGCUGGCACUUUGUAUCAUGUGAGCACCGUCACGCACGCGAUCCUCUUUGAUCUUCGCAGCAGUCACUCCAGUGAUCAAUAACCGUGUGCCGAGCCUCUCCUGUGGACCAGGCGACACGAGACAUGGGUUUCUCGUCUCCACGCCCUGCACAGUCCGGCAGGAAUGCAGGAAGCAAAUAAGUCCACAGACUCGAUCUAAGUAAAUGCAACACAGGCCAGCGAAAGCAUAAAGUACCAUCCCUUCCAUCCACAGAUGAGGAGUCAUGGCCCAGGAUGGGAAAGUGACUUGCACAAGAUCGCACAGCAAAUAGGCAGCCAGGCUGAGAGGCAACCCCUCUUUUUUUUUGAACCCGGAGGCUGGGAGCCACCUCCAGCCUUUCUCCAGCCUGUGCACAUGGGUCUUCCUAGGCCCUGAGGGCAGGCUGUCCUCUGAGAAGUGUCCAUUCCCUGGCAGAGCCCAUUCCAGCUGGCUGAGGGCCAAGGACAGAGCUCUCUGCGUCCUUCGACAGCUGGCCAGGGAGCAGAACGUCGUGUUUGGCAGGGCUUCCGUGGAGCCCGGCGGCCAGGCUAAAAGCCUCGAACCCCACAGCUGUUGUCACUAGGCUGGCACUGCCCACCCUCGGGGCUUCGGCUGAGCGUCACUUCCCUUCCUAGAAGUCACUGCCCAGGAAACGGAGGUCGGGCUAUAGGUUGUGACCUGGUCCCGGGAGCUGUAGCUUCAGGCCCAGCUGAGAACAGAGGCCAGUGGCAGGCCUUCUAAAGUGGAAAUGAGGAUGGCCAUUGAGAACGAGGUCACAUUUGUCUGCAGACGCUCAGUGGCUCCAUGGUGGCUCACAAUAUGGUGGCUGGAAUAGACCCUUCUAUGACUGCACUUCCAGAACCAAUUCUAAAGUUCCUGCCCUUUGACCCUCCUCGAGCUAGUCUAGCCACCUCUCACCCUUAGCAGUCUGCAUGUUGACGGCAGCAUGGUGGCCUUUUCUUCCCCAACCCAUGCCCUCUGAGUGUUUGCCCACUCUGUCCCCUCCUCUAGGAACUUUGUCCCCCUCUCACCCGAGUCCCCCCCCCGCCGUCCUAAUGUUUCCGGGACCAAACCCUCCCCAUGCCACGUGCCCCAGCUCAGGUGCCCGGCAAGGCCCCUCAGCCCAGCACUGCUGGAGGUGACUCUGCGUCCUCUGAGCGCCGUGUCAGACAGACGGGUGUCCUGAUUGGGCAAGUUGCUGAACCUCUCUGAACCUCCGCUUCCCUAUCUGCAAAAUGGGGCUGCUGGUCCAGCGACCUCGGAGAAUCACAGGCCUCGAGGGUACAAUGAUGACAGCCGCGGAUGCUCACAUCGCACACACUUCCCGCUGAGCGCGGUUGGAAGUGCUUUACGAAGGUUGGUGUUCUUGGUGUCCCCAGUCCAUGGAGAGAGGACCAAGGCCCAGGGAAGAGAGGGGACAGGCUCCAGGCCUAAUCGGCAGCCAGGAAGGGGUUGUGCCCCGGCAGCCUGGCUCCAGCCCCCUGUGCUGGAGGACUGGUGAUAGGCGUGCGUGCGUCCGUGGAGGUGUGCGUGUGCCUGUGGGCGCCGAUGCAUUCGUACCUGUGCGUGCGUGAGAAGGCUCACAGCACAGCGCCUGGCACAAGGAGCACUUCCUUUCCAUAGCCCUUUAUGUCUGUCCCCUUGGACUUGGCCCCUCUGCUUGGUUUUAUAAUCCCGCAGCUCACAGCCUACCCGACUGUGAGCUCCUGGAGGCUGGGGCCGGGCUCUCAGCCGAGUCGGGGUCUCCGGGGCCUGACCCACGGGCCUGACACCUGUGACCCCCAGCGACUCCCUCUGCCUUCGCUAAGCGUGCCCAUCUUGCUAGCCCACAGGAGGGGGCCUUGCUCGGCACCCAGCCCAGCCGCCCGACACCAGAGGGCCCCUGCUGCAUGUGCCUGUCUCCCAUCACCCAAGGGCUGGCUCCUCCUCUUCUUUCCAUCUCAACCCCAAUGUCACC